rnacentral:rRNA from 1 species
GUCUACGGCCAUGCCACCCUGAACGAGCCCAUUCUCAUCUGAUCUCGGUAGGGUCGGGCCUGGUUAGUACUUGGAUAGGAGACCACCUAGGAAGACCAGGUGUUGUAGGUG